rnacentral:tRNA from 1 species
GCGAGAAUAGUUCAAUAGGUAGAAUACCAGCCUUCCAAGCUGAAGAUUACGGGUUCAAAUCCCGUUUCUCGCU